rnacentral:lncRNA from 1 species
CCUGGAGACCAUACUCAACUGAGAGAGGCAAAAAAAUACCCCUGGCCCACACCCUCCCUGUCCCCCCCACCCCCGACAUGCUCCCCCCCACUCCCUGACUCCCCGUUCCAACCGACGAUAAACCUACUGGUGACGCAGAAUCACGCUUUUCUUGGGUCAUGCCGAACACAUGUCAGCGGGCAGCUGAGCAAGACGGAAGCAGGGACGUUCAGCAAUACAGCAAAGGAGAAACUGAGGCACGGCUCUUUCGACUUCAGGCCCCAGGUGGCCAACUCACACGCCCACACCGUGGGGCUAAUUUUUCUUUUCCUCCUGACUUACAACUGAACUCCAUGAUGAAAAAUUAAAAGUAGCACAACUUAGAGAAAUUGUCCAUUUGAGCACAUACACCAUUUACCAUGCGCUGUUUCCGGUGAAAGAGCCAGGUUGGGGUGGGGGGAGCAUGAGGGUGGACACAAGAGAAGAGCGUACUUGAGAAGAGGAGUUCUCUGGGAAGAAUGCUGUGUGCAUAAGUGUCUUCUAAUCUCAAGAAAUAGUGACAUGGACACACAAUUUUGCCAAGCGUGAGACAGUAACUGGACCCCUACCAUUCUAUUUGUAGUACUUUUCAUAUCGUCAAUGUUGGAAGCAAACACACACACACACACACACACACACACUCAAACUCACAAAAAGUCAAUAGACCCUGAACCCACUGGCAGUGAUGAGAAAGAAAGAGCAUUUUAGAGAAGUCCUGUAAAGACCAUGACCAUGUACAUGGCAAGGAUAGUAGGCUUCUGCAGCGGGCAGAGGGUCCAGAGAGUAUUAAAUAACUUUAAAGAACAAGAAGAAGAAGAAGAGAAACAAAGACAAGCCCACUACAAAACAGACAAAAACAGCAAAUUCAUUUUUGCCCAGAAUCCUUGGGACUUAGGAAACAAUGACAUCAGAACAAAAACAUACUCCACAGCUGGAAAGUCGACAAGAGUGACCUCCGGACCUGAAAAGUGUUGCACCAUAUUACAUUUGCUGGUCAUCUGA